GGAGGAGGAGGGGGCCGCGGGCGCUCCCCCGCUGGGUGGACCCCCGGAGCCGGCGGCGGCCUCGCCCUCGUUCUUGAGGUCUUGGAAGACCUGCGUGAAAAAGUGGGGGUCGGCAUUGAGCCGCAGCAUCUGCGGGCUGAGCCGCUGGAUGAGGCGCAGGCAGCGUUGCCAGAAGCGCUCCUUGUCGGGCUCCACGAGGAAGGGCUUGAGCGGGUAGGAGAUCUCGUUGCCCAUGUAGGAGUAGGCGAGGUAGAGACAGGUGAGGAAGGCGGCCUGCAGCUCGGCGGCCGACGCCAGCUCAUCCCCGCGCAGCGACUCCCGGCACAGCAGGUACACGAACACCAGGUUGGCGGGCGUAAUGAAGGCCUGGUCUUGCCAGCCCUGCAGCAGCAGCGAGCGGUCCACUCCGCGGAACCAGCCCACCAGCUCGCCCGGGCUCAGCUCCUUGAGACGGUAGCAGCGUCGGCACACGAAGUCGCCCAGGCAGCGCAGCAGCUCGCCGGUGGAAGCCUGCACGAUGACCCUCCGCGGCGAGCCGCCAGAUGCGGCUACCAGGCGCUUCCAGGUGAGGGCCGAGAUGAGUACCGACGGCCGCUUGAGUCGGCUCUCGCCUUUGCCGCCCUUGCCCACUGGCGGCGCCCCGUAGCCCCCAAGCGCCUCGUCCCCAGCGGGCGGCGCCUUCUUCUUCUCCUCCGGCAGCCCGCCGGGCCUCCGGCCCUUGGCCGAGGAGGCGGGGGAAAGAGACAGCACCGUGCCCAUCCUGCAGAGCGGGGCCGGCGCCCGGGCCCCGGCGGGAACCGCGGGCGGAGCCGCUGCCGCCGCCGCCGCCGCCGCUGCUGCAGCCCCCGGGGACCCGGCGGUGGGGGCCUAGCCCCGGCCCGGGCGCGGGAACAGGCAGUGGAAGGUGGCUGCUCGGCGGUUCGGCGGCGGCGGCUCAGAGUCUGAGCUGCGCCAGCUGCAGCGUCAGCCCCACCCCUUGGCCCGGUCUUUGCCGAGCCGCGCCCCUCCUCGCGCAGCCAAUCCUCGACCGAGGUGCCCUCCUAACCGGCAUCUCCUCUGACCAAUAGAAUCUCGCAUGCCAAUCAGGCCCCACCCACCCCCCCUCCUCUGUCUCAGGUCCUUUCCCUUCACUAGAA
rnacentral:lncRNA from 1 species